ensembl:lncRNA MIR100HG mir-100-let-7a-2-mir-125b-1 cluster host gene
AGUAAAGAUUAAAUGUGCUUCUCAAAGGCAGCCACUUCAUGCUGCUAUGUCGAAAGGGCCAUUAUUAUUAUUAUAUUUUAAUGGUAAAAGAGAAAAGGAGAGAGGUUGAGCGAGCGAGAGAGAAGCUAGGUGUGAUGAUGACAGACUAGCUUUUCUGAGAGGAAAAGGAAAAGGGAAGGGAGAGAAAAAGGAGAGCCUCUGAGCUCAACGGAGGAUUGUGCCUGAGAAGAACCCACAGAGGAAAGCCCCACUUCCAGUCUGAUGAGGAAAGCGACAAUCUAUCAGGUACAGAACCAGGGGCUGUCUGCGAAGAUGGAGGGGAAUUAUGCUUCGGAUUCCUCUGAAAUAUUGGCCAAAGGCUUCAAAGAAUCCGCAGCGGGAGGUGCGGGGGGAAUGUCUCUCCCCAGCCCGCACCCAGCCCUUCCCACUUCGUGUCUACCAAAUGACAGCCUGGUGCUCGCUCUUGGUGAUUUGGCCUUGACUUCAGCCAAGCAGCUGAUGCAGACGAAGCCUCCGUUUGCAGGACUGGCAAAGUGCACGCUAAAGAAAGAAGGAAGAAAUUUUUCAAAAAGCAGCUCUGGGGAGGUUUCAUACUCCCCCCCCCCCCCCGCCUUUUUUUAAUUUUUAAGUGAAUAUUUUCCAAAUUUGAUCAGUUCCAGCCCCUCCCUCCACUCCCACCCAACUGCCCUUUUUUCUCUCGUCAAAGCAUAAGCUACAGAGUUACAGUCUCGAGAUUUGGUGUAUCGCUUCCUGCCCCCGCCUCCCCUCCCCGCCCCCGUUCUCCGUCCUCUAUUGAAACACCUCGCCCAGCCUAGCGCACUGAGAGCUCUCAUUUUCCCCCCUUGCUCGGGAUGGUGCCACAGGAGGCUGUGCGGGCCCCGCUCCGCUUCGAAUGGUUGUGUUGAUGUUCCUUUCAGCUGGUCCUAUAGUACCCCUCCUCAGGAAUGUCUCCCCAGUGCAAGGACAAAGACUGAAGAGACUGCUAUAUUGAUGGACUCUCAAGCCAACUAUGAAGUUGAAACAAAGAAAGUGAUCACCUGAAGACACCUCCUCUGCUAAGAAACACCCCCAAAUUGUGCAGCUUCUGCCACUAGAACUCUCAGAACAAGAGACAAUCUUUUCAAGAAACAGAAAAACUCAAUAAUGACAUCUAGAUUUUCAUGAGCCAAGAACUUUCCCUUCCUCAUGUGUAUUCCUCUGUUUGUACUUAAAUUCAUGUGACAUUCAUUUUUUUCCUAGUAUGGAUAUGCUUAUUAAUGCACUUGUUUCAAAAUCCCAAAUUGCACAAAUGUGUUAAUAUUUUAAGAAACAAAAUGAAUCCUACAAGGAGAAUGAUUUUUAGCCACACAUAGGGUUGGAUCUUGAGAGUGACCUACAGAAUAAAAGUACUUUUAAAAUAAAGUAGUCAGAGGCUAUUCAAAGGGUAAAAUAAUCAUAGUACCACAUUGGUCCACUUGACACUAACCAAUCGAUCAUUUUUUUUUAAUCAAGAAAGCUAGAUUCUAUCAGAUAAAAUCACUGCUUCUAAAGAGUUUAAAUCUAGUUAGAAAAAGUUAUAGAAAUGUUUGCAAAGAUAAGUAACAGAUAGAGUCAGUAGAGGAUAAGAUCAAAAACAAAACCAAGCAAAAGAUGAGUUCAGGGGAGUUUGCCAUCAAGUUGGCAAAACUGACUUACUUAGGGAAGAAAGUUAUAAAACAGGAAAAUAUGAGAUGAACCUUGAGUGAUGUGGAAGAUUUAGAUAAAUGGAAAGGAAGGAGAAAAUGGAGUUCUUUAGGUGGUUGUAAUUGGAGGAGGAAAUGAAUACACACAUCUUGUUGACUUAAACCCAGACAUUCAGCAGCUCUCUAUACAUAUCUGGAAAAGACUGCACAGUCACCUCCUGUCUCUCACCCCAGGUAUUACUUAGAAUUAUUAUCAUAUUUCCCUUCCUUUAAAGUAAGUAAGGGUGAUUGGUGACAAUAUGGAGAACUAUGAUUUUUCCAUUAACCUAAUAAUAAUUGGUAUUUAUUGAGUUCUGUUAAGCAUUUUACAUAUUAACUCACUUAAGCCUUUCAACAGCCUUGCAAAAUAGGUAUUAUUAUCCCCAUUUUACAGGCAAGAAAACUGAGGUUUAAGUAACUUGCCGAAGUGCCAUAUACAGGGCUCACAUUCAGUAUUGCAGUUGCAAAGCUCAUGAUCUAUAGUGCCAAGUUGCAAUAUUGUAGUCAAUGUCACAAUUAUUACCCCUUUUUAUAUUCCUUGAUAUUUUUCCAUGGCAAACAAUUAGCUAUUUCAUUUAAUAAUCACCUAAAACUUUUCAGUCUUCUGAUUAAAAUUACGCUGGAGUGAUAGAAUGUAUUUUCAUGAUAGAAAUUGGGAAAAAAAAUGGGGAAUGAAGUUUAUCAGCAUUUCAGACUUGUUUUUUUUUUUUUUUUUUGCAAGACUUUGAUGAGAUUGUUCACUUUUGUCUAUGUAAAAUCCCAAAUCCUUGAGAAUAAAAAAGGGGGAGGUUUAAGUCACUUGUUGCAAUGCCCUUUUUAAUAGAGGCAAUAAAUCUAAAGGCCAUAAAUUUAGAGUGACUUACAGAAGAUCGAACUUUGGAGUGUGGCAGAGUAAGGGAUGGAAACCGGGCCCUCCAGUUCACUAUCAGUAGCUUUUGCACUGGUCUGCCCUUCCUAAAUUAAGUAUGCACUUCAAUUUGAUGAGUGGAAACAGUCUAUCUGGGCAGUAACCAGGGAGCUUUGUGCCUAGUAGAUUGCUUCUGUUCUGCACUUCUUUGGUUUCCCACCUCAAUGUAAAAAAUAGCUAGCAAUGAAGUCCAGAAGUUGUCAAUGGUUCAUCCCCAGAAGAAUGCAUAAUGUCCAAAGUUGUAUGUGUAUGAUGUCUUCAAUGGUAUUAAGUUAUUUCAAAUUCUUAGUUCACCUACAUAAAUCAUUUCUAACAAGCAUCUUCUUAACCAACUUUAUGCACAGUGUAUGUUUGUAAGUGCUUCUGCACGAAUGUUUAUACAUGACUGUUUCCAUAGUACUUAUGUUUUUAAAAAUAUUCAGUCAUUUCCUACUAUAAUCCUCAUGUAUCCAUGUAACUGACUCAAAAAUACUUCAGCCACAGAAAGCUAAAACUGAGCAAAUCUCAUUCUUCUUUUCCAUCCCCUUUGCAUGUGGCUGGCAUUUAGUAAUGAUUAAUAAUAUGGCCAGCUGAAUAACAGAGGUUUGAGACACAAUUCUUUCUCAAAGGAGUCAGCUAAGCUGGGUCUACUUAUGGACAAACAUCUAAAUGUGUGGAAGUAUCUGAUAUUUGACAAUGGUAAAUUUCCACUUAGCUAGCUAGCAUUGUCAGACUUCAAUCUCCUCAUGGCUCUGGCCGUCCUGUUUUAAGCAUGAUAAUUGUUGGCCACAUCUCACAUAGUUCUCAUUGAGUGAGUUCAUAAAUAAACAGGGUUUUUUUUUUUUUUUAAAGAGCAGCCAAGCACAAAGUGUGACUUUGUUGACAUUUUAUGUGACUUUGUCAUAUGUUCCUAACCCCCAAUAAAAGC